CACUACACAACAUUACACAGCACGAAUGUAGCAGGCCCAGCACUGCAGGCACAGCGCUACCGAAGGAUGGUCAAGAGAGGUUUGCCUUCAGUGGUUGUGCAGUGCACGGCCAGGUACCACCGCCUAGACUGGUAACUCGCCUCUGCCUUCUCUUUAUCGCCUGUCUCUCCUACCCAUCUCCUGCACCAAUCCAUCAGCCCAUCUUAAUUUUCAUGCAUUCCUAAGUUUAGAACACGGCUUGAUUUUGCUCCCUGGUGUGUGUUCCAAAUAAGCUCAAGCUAUGACUGGACAAAGAAACGGCUUAGAGAAGACUGCACUCUUGACUCUGGACUUCACUUCACAGAUGCAGACCUGAAGGGUACUGCAGCCCUACCAGCAAGGAGCAUCCAGCAGCUGGCCCCACAUCAUGUACCCAUGAGGACCGUCUAGCAACUGGCCCUGCAUCACCCUUAGAGUGGACUUGGGGCUGGCUUGAGCCCAGCGUGACCAGCUUUCAUCUGUGGAGCUGAGAAAAAGGUCAAAGAACAACCAAUUAAAAGAAUUCCUCCUGCUGCUACAGAAAUACAAUAAUGACUUUAAAAGAUUUUCUUCUUUUAAUUAAAUGCCAGCUACCUUUGCUGAUUUCA